UACAGAGGUCUCAAGCGUUGUUCGGAUUCAUUGGGCGUAAAGGGCUCGUAGGCGGUUUGUCGCGUCGGGAGUGAAAACCUCGGGCUUAACUCGGGGCUUGCUUUCGAUACGGGCAGACUGGAGGUAUGCAGGGGAGAACGGAAUUCCUGGUGUAGCGGUGAAAUGCGCAGAUAUCAGGAGGAACACCGGUGGCGAAGGCGGUUCUCUGGGCAUGACCUGACGCUGAGGAGCGAAAGUGUGGGGAGCGAACAGG
rnacentral:rRNA from 1 species